CCCGCCCCCGGGCUCCCGUCAGCGCGGCCCCGCCCGGCCCGCCGCGGCCCCCUCCUCACCUGAUGUAUGGGCUGGCCGCCGCCAGGAUGUUCUUCUGCACCGGGAUCUCCUCCCCGUCGAGGACCAGGUGCGCGUCGCAAAAGCGGGACUCCUCGCGGAAAGAGCUAAGCGCUCGCAGCAGACGCGCGGCAUGCUGUGGGUCAGACACAGCGCUGCCUUCGGCCAUCUCGGCGCCGGCUCGUCAGCCCUCUGGUCCAGCUGCCCCAGCCGCCCCGCCAGACCCCUCGAGCUGCCCGCGUCCGGCGCGCGCCCUGUCUGCACAGCGCGCGCGCGCGCCCGUCCAGCCCGACUCUGCGCUCGGAGAAGCGGGAGCCCCCGGAACGCGCCUGCGCCAUCGGCGGCGCAAGGGGCUUGCGCCUUUAAGGAGCCGCGGCGUUGCGUCAUUUCUCCGCGACGCCCCCGCGCCCUCGGGCCCUCCCCCUCGCCAGUGAUCGCUGGAGGCGGCCAAUCAGAAGCCUCGUUCCUCUGCUGGAUCAGCUGGUCGUGGUGCGUCUGUCCGCCGCCAGGAACCGUUGCUGCAGUGGUGGAAGAUGUGCAGGCACCUGGGACCCUGUGGUUCUGCCCGGGGCCUCUGGCGCCGCGAGCCUGAAUCCGAGCCUUGGCUCUUCCACUCAGUAGCUGUGUGGCCAUGGGAUUCUGGUCAAUACACUGCUGGGUGUACAAUGAGGAGGUCUAUCCUGCAGAAUUGGUACCAUGCUGGACACUAGACUCAGUCUCAGGAGGGAGAAAGGAGGAAUCAGAUUCAGCUCUUGCCCUCCAGGAACUUCUAGUCCAAUGCAGGAGAAGAGAUUGGAGUGAUGCAUCUAUAAGCCAAGGAACACCGAGGAUUCCUGGCAGCCACCAAAGGCUGGAAGAGGGAAGCCAGCAUCUUCCCCUGGAGGCUUCAGAGAGAGCAUGGCUCCGAGGACACCCCGAUUUCAGAUUUCCAGCCUCCAGAA